GACGAAGGGGGCUAGCGUUGUUCGGAAUUACUGGGCGUAAAGCGAGUGUAGGUGGUUGUCGUGGUCAGGCGUGAAAGCCUUGAGCUCAACUCAAGAAAUGCGCUUGAUACUGGGCAGCUAGAGGACCGGAGAGGAUAGUGGAAUUCCCAGUGUAGUGGUGAGAUACGUAGAGAUUGGGGAAGAACACCAGUGGCGAAGGCGGCUAUCUGGACGGUUUCUGACACUAAGACUCGAAAGCG
rnacentral:rRNA from 1 species